ACUCAAAUGAAUUGACGGGGAGGAGCACAACCAGUGGAGCGUGUGGUUUAAUUCGAGACGAAGCGAAAAACCUUACCAGGGUUUGACAUAUACCCGCAUGUUAUUUAUGAAAGUAGAUGACCUUCAGGGUAUACAGCUGCUGCAUGGCUGUCGUCAGUUCGUUCCGUGAGGAGUUCCCUUAAGUGGGGUAACGAACGCAACCCCCGCUGUCUGUUAUAUAUGUCAGACGGGACCGCCUCGGCAUUUGUCGGGGAGGAAGGAGGGGCAGACGUCAAGUCAGCAUGGCGCUUACAUCCUGGGCGACACACACCCUACAAUGGAUUCAACAAUGGGAAGCCAAACCGCGAGGUGGAGCAAAUCCCACCAAAUGAAUUCUCAGUUGGGAUUGGGGCCUGCAAUUCGACCCCAUGAACCUGGAAUUGGUAGUAAUCGCAGAUCAGAAGGCUGCGGUGAAUACGUUCUCUCCUCUUGUACACACCGCCCGU
rnacentral:rRNA from 1 species